UACGUAGGGUGCAAGCGUUAAUCGGAAUUAUUGGGCGUAAAGCGCGCGCAGGCGGCCUUUUAAGUCUGAUGUGAAAGCCCCCGGCUCAACCGGGGAAGGUCAUUGGAAACUGAGAGGCUUGAGUACAGAAGAGGAAAGCGGAAUUCCACGUGUAGCGGUGAAAUGCGUAGAGAUGUGGAGGAACACCAGUGGCGAAGGCGGCUUUCUGGUCUGUAACUGACGCUGAGGCGCGAAAGCGUGGGGAGCAAACAGG
rnacentral:rRNA from 1 species